CUAAUUUGGACUGGGAUAUGUGAAUGCACACACUGGGUCUCUGUGUAGACAUCUGUCUUUCCACAGUGACAGCCAAUGAAAGCAACCUGAGUGCAGCUGAUAUUGACAGAGGCUGGGGCUUCGGGUAUGGGCGGAGUGUGGAGCGGCCACAGCAGGAGAAGAGAAUUCUCCAUACAGAAGCAGUACUAAUUAGCAACAAGAGCUGCAAAGGAGUCAACCAGAAGUCACUAUCGAAUAUACUGACGGAUCCUAAGAAAGAGUCGUGAAAAGGGGAGGAAGAUUGCAGGACACAGUUGGCU
rnacentral:lncRNA from 1 species